ensembl:lncRNA
CUUUCGUUUUCCACCCACAUACAGGCCUCCACCACUGCUGCUUUCUGUGUCAUCAGAAAGCAGCAGUGGUGCUUCAAGUCUUAGUAUAGAAAAAAAAUGCCCCUCCCCCCUCCCGAAAAACAAAAACAAAACAAAAACAAAAACAAGGGUUCAGAUCCUUUCCCGAGACAUGUUGGAUUUUAAACCAUCCUAAAACACACAUGACAGUCAAACCGCUUUGGGUCAAAGGAAAAAACGUUCUUCUCCACUCCAUACGGGUUGUACCAAUUUGUCACACUUCUGCUCUGCUUCUUCGGAGCUCCGGCCACUUUCCAGUGCCUCAUGGACCAGUUCCACAAGCUGCAUAUGCUGUCGCCUAUUUGGAUGACGUCAUCAUCCACAGUGCCACCUGAAAGGAGCAAGUGCAGUGGAUGGCCGUGGUCCUGGAGUCCCUGAGGCAGGCAGGGCUUCACGGCCAACCCAAAGAAGUGUGCGGCUGAAUGGAGGGAGGUACAGUAUUUGCAGUACCACUUGGGAGGUUGCAUGUGCACCCCCAGAUGGAUCAAAGAGCAGCCAUUGCAUCCUGCCCAUGUCCCAAGACCAAAAAAAAGGUGAGACAGUUCUUGGGGCUGGUGGGUUACUACCGCCGGUCCGUACCUAGCUUUGCAGAGCUGACCAGCCCUUUGACUAAUUUCACCAAAAAGGGUGCCCCAGAUCUGGUCCGGUGGACAGAACAGUGCCAGGUGGCAUUCGUGCAGGUGAGGAAGUCUCUCUGUGAUGAACCUUUGCUCUAAACUUUUCCCUCCCUUUUAUUCUGCAGACUGACGCCUUGAACAGAAGGCUGGAGGUAGUUUUUUCCCAGCAGGUAAGGGGGGGGGUUGACCGCCCAAUUGUGUACAUCAGCAGGAAACUGUGUGAGUGGGAGGCCAGGUGGUACGGUGGAGAAGGAGUGCCUGGCCAUCCGGUGGGCGGUAGACUCUCUUCGUUAUUACCUCCUGGGCCACCCCUGUUUAAGUUAUUCAGAUUUUCUUAAGUACCAUCAGUAAUGUUUCUAAACAACAUUAACACUGAAUAAGACCCUAAAGCACAGUAAAUUUAUUGUAUAAUUUGCCCCUGUUGGAGGAAGAUGGGGCUACUCUUAUCCAGGCUGAACUGAAGAAGCAGCAGAGUUCUUCUUCCAAAAAACCUGAAGUGCUUUUUCUUCAUUUUCAGGUGAAACGCUGCCUGAGGGAAGCAAAGGACACCUACAGGAGGAAGGUGGAGCAGAAGUUGGAGAGGAACAAUAUGAGGGAGGUCUGGAAUGGUGUGAAAACCAUCACGGGCCACAACACCAAGAACAGCACAGUGGGGGGGACUGUGGAGAAGGCAAACGAACUCAACAACUUCUUCAACAGGUUUGACCAGCCCACAACCCCCCCACCCUCACCCUCACAUCCACCGUUACUACAGAGCCCUCUCUCUACUCUCCUACCUCCCUCGCUUCCCCCCCUUCCUGACACUAUGACACCCCCCUCCUCCAACCCCUCUCUCAACAGCAGGACCCCCCCCCCUUCCAAUCAUCUCCCAGUGUCACAGUGGAUUAGGUCAGAAGACAAGUGAGGAAGGCAGCAGGCCCAAACAAGGUGUGUCCUAGGAUGCUAAAGGCGUGUGCUGCUGAACUUGGGGAGCCGCUACAACGAGUCUUCAAUCUCAGUCUGCGACUGGGGAGAGUGCCCGCCCUAUGGAAGACAUCCUGCAUCGUCCCGAUCCCCAAAAGGAACCGGCCCAAUGAGCUGAAUGACUUCCGACCGGUGGCACUGACGUCACAUCUUAUGAAGACUCUAGAGCGGCUCUUCCUCAACCUCCUCCGACCACAGUGCCUUUAAUACCAUCCGGCCCUGUCUGCUCCAGGAAAAACUAAACAGGAUGCAGGUGGACCCCUGCCUGGUCACUUGGAUCUCCGACUACCUCACUGACAGACCACAGUACGUCAGGCUGAAGGACAUCAUGUCUGACACUGUGGUCAGCAGCACGGGAACACCACAGUGAACUGUGCUGUCCCCUCUUCUCUUCACCCUGUACACCUCUGACUUCUGAAUUAUGCCAUAUUCAGAAGUUUGCAGAUGACACAGCCAUCAUGGGGUGUAUCUGGGAUAAUCAGGAAGAGGAGUACAGAAGUCUGGUGAGGAACUUCGUCACAUGGAGUCACACAAACCACCUGCAACUCAACACCUCAAAGACCAAGGAACUGGUUGUGGACUUCGGGAGGUCCAGAGCAGGUCCACUGCCGGUUCAGAUAGAGGGAGAGGAGGUGGAAGUGGUCAACAAGUACAAGUACCUCGGGCUGUGGGUGGACAACAAACUGGACUGGUCAUGCAACACAGAGCACCUGUAUAAAAAAGCCCAAAGCUGACUGUAUUUCCUCAGGAGGCUGAGGUCUUUUAACAUCUGCAGGAAGUUCCUGAGGAUGUUUUACCAGUCGGUGGUUGCUGGAGUACUUUUCUAUGCUGUGGUGUGCUGGGUGAGCAGCACAGCAAAGAAGGACUCAUCCAGGCUGGAAAAACUGAUCAGGAAGGCUGGCUCUGUGGUCGGCAUGAAGCUGGACACUCUGGUGACAGUGGCAGAGAAAAGGACACUAAAGAAAUUGCUGGACAUUAUGGACAAUGCUGGGCAUCCUCUGCACACGGCCAUAAACAACCAGAGGAAUCUGUUCAGUGACAGGUUGCUUCUCCCAAAGACAAGAACCAACAGACUUAAAAACUCCUUUGUCCCACACGCCAUCAGACUGUUUAACUCCUCUCUGGAGGGGAGAGGGAGGGGAAACAGGAGGACAAAGGAGGGGGGGACAACUAAGCUGCAGUGCCUUUUCACUGUGCAAUACUUUUUGCUAAUAUUCAACGGUGCAAUAGACUUCAAUAAUUGA